AUGUUUAUUGUUUUCAAAUGAAAACAUAUCGCCGAUAUGGUCCACUUUGGUUGAAUUUCGGGUGGGACAUUCUUUAUUUUGAUUUUGCUUACUUUCUGUCCCAUGUAGUAUGGGACCAUGACGAGUUUGUCAUUCUGUAGGGUUUGCGUACUG